rnacentral:rRNA from 1 species
AUGUUCUCCUUGUUACAUGGUCUAUGGAACCAUGUGUUCAGCAAGACAGAGUUCCGUGUGCUCAUCCUUGGAGUCGAUAAGGCUGGGAAGACGACCUUGCUAGAAAAGUUGAAGUCAAUCUAUUUGAAAGGAGAAGGUCUUCCACAUGAUCGUAUUGGUCCAACUGUGGGGCUUAAUAUUGGACGUAUUGAAGAUGCAAAUGUAAAACUUGUUUUCUGGGAUCUGGGAGGUCAGCCUGGCCUAAGAACAAUAUGGGAGAAAUAUUAUGAUGAGGCUCAUGCUAUAGUAUAUGUUAUCGACUCUGCCUCCGCAUCAACAUUUGAAGAUGCCAAAUCUGCUCUUGAGAAAGUGCUUCGUCACGAGGAUCUGCAAGAGGCACCACUACUCGUAUUCGCCAACAAACAGGAUUUACCAGCAUCUGUCACAGAAGAAGAAUUGGACAGACAUCUUCACCUUAAAGAGUUUGAUGAGAGGCCAUAUAUGUUUGUUGCGGGAUCUGCAUAUGAUGGGACGGGGAUCAAACUGGGUAUCGACUGGUUGGUAGAAGAAAUGGGAAAGAGUAGGCGCACCGAGGCUCUGAGGGCACGCACCGACACAUAUGCAAAGAUUUAG